rnacentral:tRNA from 1 species
AAUUUUCAAUCGAUUUGUCUCUAACAAACGGAUUACGAGUAAUCUGUGUCGAUCUCACUAAAGUGCAUAUCGAUAUAGAUAUCA